rnacentral:rRNA from 1 species
AUUGAACGCUGGCGGCAUGCCUUACACAUGCAAGUCGAACGGCAGCACGGGUGCUUGCACCUGGUGGCGAGUGGCGAACGGGUGAGUAAUACAUCGGAACAUGUCCUUUAGUGGGGGAUAGCCCGGCGAAAGCCGGAUUAAUACCGCAUACGAUCUACGGAUGAAAGCGGGGGACCUUCGGGCCUCGCGCUUUAGGGUUGGCCGAUGGCUGAUUAGCUAGUUGGUGGGGUAAAGGCCUACCAAGGCGACGAUCAGUAGCUGGUCUGAGAGGACGACCAGCCACACUGGGACUGAGACACGGCCCAGACUCCUACGGGAGGCAGCAGUGGGGAAUUUUGGACAAUGGGCGAAAGCCUGAUCCAGCAAUGCCGCGUGUGUGAAGAAGGCCUUCGGGUUGUAAAGCACUUUUGUCCGGAAAGAAAUCCUUGGCUCUAAUACAGUCGGGGGAUGACGGUACCGGAAGAAUAAGCACCGGCUAACUACGUG